GGGUGAGGCAAGCUCCUGUCUCCCUGUCACACAGGCUGCCUUUGCAGCUGCACGUUUUACGGCACUCCAUGCCAUAGGUGCCAAACUGGCAGUCUGGGAAGAGAAAACAAAUAAUACCGAAGAACUCGCAGAAAAGGCCCGGUCCGCACUUGACGCCGUGCAUGCCGGACACAGUGCGGUAACAGUGCUCCCCUCGCCCGGCCGUGCACACGCGGCAGCAGCCGCAGUCAUCCAGCACUGUGCGUGCGCAGCCGAGCGUGGGACCGCAGCGCUCCACGUCGCACCUGUCCGGACAGUUGACGGCGUACUUGACGCCGGAGCCCCAUGCCUGGGCGCCGGGGUCGCCGUGAGCGCCAAGGGCGAGCAGCGAGGAGAGCACCGUGAACAGCAGCAGAGACAUGGCGGGCGAGGAGGAGGAGGCGCGGAGGAUGGUGAUGAUCGGUGGUGGUGGUGGUGAUGCUGAUGAUGAGAUGCUGCCUCUGCCUGAGACUUAAGUGGGAGUGAGGAGGCGAGCAUCAGCCUGAGAGCUUUUCACGGCAUCCAACAAGUUUGUUUUGCACUUCGCUCUCGUCAAUUUCCUCAUUCCGCUCCUCUUUUAGAGAUCCGGCAGUGGAAGUGCAUGCAUGGGAUUAGCGUGGAGUCGCCAUCCAGGAACUGGAAUCCACGUGACCUCAUGGCACAAGUUAUCUUUGCUUUGUUUUUUUUGCGGGAGACAAAGGGAACUGCGCUGUCAUCGGACCUGCGUGCCACGGACUGAACCAGAUGGACAACAUUUGGGGAUGUGCAACAUUUCAAAAGUGAAGAAAAAAACAAAAAGAGUAGAACGUCUUAAAGCAAGUUAGACAUUUCCAACGCACAGCCUAAAUCAGGGGUGGGCAACUUUUUUUUCUAUGGAAAUGUUGUUCUGUUUUGUGCAAUCCUCCAAAAUUUGAAGAAAACGUGGAUAGGUUUUCAACAUAUGUUUUCCAC